CAGCAGUAGCCGCGGGAAUACGUAGGGUGCGAGCGUUAAUCGGAAUUACUGGGCGUAAAGCGUGCGCAGGCGGUUAUAUAAGACAGAUGUGAAAUCCCCGGGCUCAACCUGGGACCUGCAUUUGUGACUGUAUAGCUAGAGUACGGUAGAGUGGGAUGGAAUUCCGCGUGUAGCAGUGAAAUGCGUAGAUAUGCGGAGGAACACCGAUGGCGAAGGCAAUCCCCUGGACCUGUACUGACACCCAUGCACGAAAGCGUGGGGAGCAAACAGGAUUAGAUACCCCGGUAGUCCCUGUCUCUUAUAC
rnacentral:rRNA from 1 species